UGUUGACUUGAAAGGGGCAGUGAAAGAUGUAUAUCGUGUGAGGGUUAAAGAAAAGGUUGAGACCUCCUUGACUCUUUAACUUCUUGAACGAUAAGCCCGUCGCUUUUGCUGAUUUCCUCAAUUUACCAUCCCAAACAGAUAAUGGCGCAAAACAUGUUAGAAACGCUGAGAGGAAUUCCGUAUAUCCUCGUUGAGGGUCGGUAAA
rnacentral:lncRNA from 1 species